rnacentral:lncRNA from 1 species
UGUGACUGACCCUUGAACUCUCCCUACUUAUAGACCCAAUUGCAUAUUGCAGAUGGAGGCAAAUAGAAUCUUACCAGCUCAGCUGAACAUGAUAUGUGAAGCUUGGUAUUUGGAUCCGGUAUCCUCUUGUCCAAACAGGUCUGACUUUCUCUUUUUCUUUAACUGUUUUCCCAGCUCCACAUGCAUGUGUCUGUUUGUGAUAGAACACCUCAUAAUCUUUAUUAUACACAUGCUUGUAGUUUUGAUCUAUAGCUCAUUUCCAAACUAUGUUAGUUUUGUAAUGAUGAACUUUGGGUAAAGGUAUUGAACUACCCUGAGAUGCACGAGUGUCAUGUCUGCUUGUUAGCUCACAACUUGAAGAUAAGAUCCAUUAUUAAAUAUUCUAUAUUGGUCGCUAUACACAUUGGCAAAUAAUGCAAUAGCCAGCAACCAGACAGGAACACAAUACAUGGGUACAAAAAACAAUAGAUAACAGGAGAUAUCAAAUGGAGUUAGAAUUAUUAUUAGGCUGAUUCGAUUUAGCAGCGUUAUAAUUAUUACAUGAGUGCUAUAUGCUGGCUUGUCUCUCCAACACAAUCUGGCAACAGGUACACUGAAAAUGAGUUAUAAUGACAAUGAUAGUCAGCUAAGCUAAACCUGUACGUGUGCGUCAUUGCCUUUCAUGAUGGAUCUUGUAAUGAAUGACAUAUAUAAGCAAGUUAGUUUCUGCUUAUAGAAAUCAUACAUCUUGGGAUCUGAGACAGGCUUUUAGGUAUGCUUUUAUUUAAAAUGUAUAAAAUGCCAUAAGUCCGCCUGUGAUCUAACAUGAGUUUGAAUGAUUAUCCACCCUUUUGCAUGAAAUAUUGUUGUACUCAAUAACCAACAACUAGAUGAAACAAGCUUAUGAUGGUGGCUGUGUAAUCACAUUGUUUAACAAAUGAGAAGUAAGAAAACAAGAUGUAUUCUUGUAUGGGUUACAUAUGGGAAACAACAUUUUUUGGUAAUUCCUUUCUAGAUUAACUAAUUCACGUUAUGCAGUUCUGAUCACAUUCUUCCAAAGGUGACCAUAUUUAUUUUAGUGCAAUGAAAGGAGAAUAAUCUAGUUUUUGAUGACAAGAUUUAAUACAACGAAUAUCUGUAUAAAUUAUUUACUAUGUUAAAAUUAGGGUGAGCUUUGGUACAACAUUAAGAUUACUCCUACGUAGUCUGAGUUAUGAGGAUUUGAGUCAUGAAAAUAUUCUUAUUACUUAUAAAAUAAAGGCAAAAUAGCCUUGCUGUUUGUAGGAAAUAGGCUAUGUACAUUGAUUCACUUGGGAUCCCCAUUAACAAGAGAUUCAUGUGCAGCUUAUAGGAAUAAGGUGAAAUAAUCUUGCUACUUGUAGGAAUAAGACUGCGUACAUCUAUCAGUUCCACACACCAUGUAAACAAGAGCCUCAUGCAUUCAGCCAUAUUGCAAUGUGACAAUGAUUGUCUGAAUAGUAUGUUGAUCAAUGUUUGUAGAAUACUUUUUUAACAUAAAAUUUGUCAAUGGUUUUGGAUUUAGCUUUGAAGAUUUUUCACACUAAUUAUCUAAACAGAUUAAUAUUUAUUCAUAAUUGGAAAUCAUUCUUUCUAAUUGAUACUGAAAAGAAUUAUGAAAAAAAUGGUUUAUUUGACCAUGUGUUUUUGCUUCGAAGACAUUAUGAGAAUGUAAUGAGUACUAAAUUUCAUUUUCAGUUUACAAUAUUACCCACCUUUGUGAAUGCCAAACUUGUGGAAUUUAGAUAAUUUUACAAAUUACGACAGGUGUCACAUUGAAAAGGAUUUUACAAUAGGCUCAUAUGCGCAGAGAGAUUCUUACCAAGCUUCUCAUAUGUUUGUUUUUUUUUUUCCCCUACUAAUGAAACUGUUAAACUAUCGACAGUUUUCUUAUUUAUGCACUAGCUUUACUGGCUUGUAAAAUAAUUAAACAAAAUAAAGGAAACUCUGAUAAGAAUAGAAAGCAAAAUUAUUGUGGACCAUGCUUUAGAAAACAGUGUAGUGUUAUAUAACUAUUUCACAAAAAUGAUACAAUAUGAAUGCAUUAGCAAUUCCUUUAAAAUGUGGAUGCUAAUGAGGGCAUAUGGCGAGAAGGCUGAUGAAUUCAUUACAAGCUUAUGAUGUUAAGGAGAGAGACUCUAUUUCGGACUAGGCUUCUAAACAAACAUUCUAGUCCUGCUUCAAUACCAUCAAAGCUGUUCUGUACCGUUUGCAACUGAUCUCGUGCCUUUGCCUUCUGUACCCUCCCAUCAUUAGCUUCAAUAUCCGCAUGCUCACCCUCGCAGGCCACUUUCCUCUUGUGCAAUGUCUUUGAGAUAAGAGACCAUCUGCUAGUUUUGGUUUUCGGCCUUGGCAUGGACAAGAAGUUAAAUAUGGACUGAAGAAGAGAGAUGGUGAUUUCUCUUGCUUCCUUCAGAGUUCUGACCAGCAUCCAUGAAUCAGAUUCCUUAUCAUCCGUAAAACAUAAGGCAUAUUUGUCAUCCAUCUGCUUCAGGAAUCUGAAGCAAUUCUUAACAUCUUUCUCUGCCUUCUUUUCAGGACGAAUAUAAGCUUGCAUCUUGCUGUGGGCAACUGUUUCUCCUUGUCUUCUGAGGGUCAUUUCAAGGUCUCUAAUCUGCUCCUUUAUAGAGUUUGUGCUAUCUCUCAAGGUGCCAAGGAAAUCCAACAGCCUGACAGAUACAUCCAAC